rnacentral:rRNA from 1 species
GCCUCAAGAUGAGACUUCGUUAUAGGGUGGUUGAAGACUACGACCUUGAUAGGCUACAGGUGUAAAGGCAGUAAUGUCAAAGCCGAGUAGUACUAAUAACCCGAAAGCUUUCCGUA